ACCACCCCGUCUGGGCUCAGCCUGGUGGUUUUUAAGAAAGAUCCUCCUUGACUCCUCUGCCUGUCACAUCUGCUGAGAACCCCAGUCUAGCUCACUGAUCCAGGCAUGUUGCGGGCCCUAGUGCUGCUUUUGGUUUUCCUGGCUCUUGUCACUCCGGUAUCUUCCAACGCGAAAGGGGCCCAGAUGUCAGUCACUAGUAAGACUUGGGAGACUGCUUCUUUCACUUGCGAUCUUACACAAGAUGCCACAUAUAUCCACCUGUACAAACAACAGGAGGGGAUGGCUCCCCGACGCCUUUUCUACUACAAUGUCUACUACUCCAAGAUUGAGUUCGAAUCAGGAACCAACAAAGCAAAAUACAGUGUUUAUAAAAGCUCAGGAAGGAGCUAUAGGUUUGCAAUCCUAAAUCUGGAACACAGUGAUUCUGGCAUGUACUACUGUGCUGUCUGGGAUAAUAAUUACGUAAAAAACUUCAAUGUUGGAACAAAACUUGUCGUCACAGAUAGAAACCUUGCUACAGACAUUUCACCCAAGCCCACUAUUUUUCUUCCUUCAAUUGCUGAAAUCAACCACAGUAAGACUGGAACAUAUCUUUGUCUUCUGGAGAAAUUUUUCCCUGAUAUUAUUGAGGUUUACUGGAAAGAAAAGGAUGGCAACAGAGCUCUGCCAUCCCAGAAGGGAAAUACCAUGAAGACCACUGACACAUACAUGAAGUUCAGCUGGCUGACUGUGGCUGAAAACUCCAUUGAUAAAGAACAUAUAUGUGUUGUCAAACACGAGAGAAAUAUAGGAGGAAUUAAUCAAGAGAUUCUUUUUCGUUCAAUAAAUGAAGUUGUCAGCUCAAUUAUCCCUACCACUGAGUCUCCCAGUGACUGUUUAAACCAUGAAAGCGUUACCGGUACUGGUUCUAAAAAAGUUUGUCUGAAAAAUGAAAGCGAAGUCACUGCUGAUCAUAAUUCUACAAAAGUGUGUCUGAAAGAUGAAAGCAAUACCCUGCGGCUGCAGCUCAUGAACACCUCUGCCUAUUACACCUACCUCCUUCUCCUCCUCAAGAGUGCGGUCUACUUUAUCAUCACCACCUCCUGUGUGUUUCGGAGAACAGGCAUCUGCUGUGACGGGAAGAACUCGUGACAGAGGGUCCCCGAAGGAGUCAGCUUUCCUUGAUCAUCUAUUGUUACUGAAAUUCUCUGCUUGUUUUUUGGAUUUGGGUUAUCUCAGUGCAUAUGUGUUUUUUCCCCUAGUAUGUCAUUAUUGUGUAACAGUUUUUCAAACACUGGGCAAAUAGACAGUUCUACUCUGUAACAAGGAAUUCUGCUAUUACUCAGGGAGCAAGGCCCAGCGCGGGUCCAGGGAGCCUUUCCCACCACUGUACCCAACCACAUCAGCUUCUUCCACCCUGAGUCCUCGUCCCUCCAGGGCACACAAAGCGGGCAGCUCCCCAUCUCCUCCCUCAGCAUCUUCCCCAAGACCACAGUCUUGACCCUCCCUGUUACACAUCCUGGGGUAGCCAGCUUUGCUACUUGAACUCUGUACAUUCUUUUUCAUAUUAGGCACAAUAAGUUAAAAAAUAAAUGAAAAGUCCACA